AUUAGAUACCCUGGGUAGUCCACGCCCUAAACGAUGUUAACUAGUUGUUGGGAAGUAAUAUUCUCAGUAACGCAGCCAACGCGAGAAGUUAACCGCCUGGGAAGUACGGUCGCAAGACUAAAACUCAAAGGAAUUGACGGGGACCCGCACAAGCGGUGGAUGAUGUGGAUUAAUUCGAUGCAACGCGAAAAACCUUACCUACCCUUGACAUGUCAGGAAGCUCUUGUAAUGAGAGUGUGCCCGCAAGGGAGCCUGAACACAGGUGCUGCAUGGCUGUCGUCGGCUCGUGUCGUGAGAUGUUGGGUUAAGUCCCGCAACGAGCGCAACCCUUGUCACUAGUUGCUACGAAAGGGCACUCUAGUGAGACUGCCGGGGAUAACCCGGAGGAAGGUGGGGAUGACGUCAAAUCAUCAUGCCCCUUAUGAUUUGGGCUACACACGUGCUACAAUGGCGUAAACAGAGGGAAGCGAGCCUGCGAGGGGGAGCGAAUCCCAAAAAUAACGUCCCAGUUCGGAUUGUAGUCUGCAACCCGACUACAUGAAGCUGGAAUCGCUAGUAAUCGCGGAUCAGAAUGCCGCGGUGAAUACGUUCCCGGGUCUUGUACACACCGCCCGUCACACCAUGGGAGUCGGAAAUGCCCGAAGUCUGUGACCCAACCUUAGGGAGGGAGCAGCCGAAGGCAGGUCGGAUGACUGGGGUGAAGUCGUAACAAGGUAGC
rnacentral:rRNA from 1 species